CCCAGACAGCCAGGAUGUUGGCUUAGAAGCAGCCAUCAUUUAAAGAAAGCGUAAUAGCUCACUGGUCGAGUCGGCCUGCGCGGAAGAUGUAACGGGGCUAAACCAUGCACCGAAGCUGCGGCAGCGACGCUUAUGCGUUGUUGGGUAGGGGAGCGUUCUGUAAGCCUGUGAAGGUGGCCUGUGAGGGUUGCUGGAGGUAUCAGAAGUGCGAAUGCUGACAUAAGUAACGAUAAAGCGGGUGAAAAGCCCGCUCGCCGGAAGACCAAGGGUUCCUGUCCAACGUUAAUCGGGGCAGGGUGAGUCGACCCCUAAGGCGAGGCCGAAAGGCGUAGUCGAUGGGAAACGGGUUAAUAUUCCCGUACUUGGUGUUACUGCGAAGGGGGGACGGAGAAGGCUAUGUUGGCCGGGCGACGGUUGUCCCGGUUUAAGCGUGUAGGUGUGUGUUCCAGGUAAAUCCGGUUCACUUUAACACUGAGGCGUGACGACGAGGCACUACGGUGCUGAAGCAACAAAUGCCCUGCUUCCAGGAAAAGCCUCUAAGCAUCAGGUAACAUCAAAUCGUACCCCAAACCGACACAGGUGGUCAGGUAGAGAAUACCAAGGCGCUUGAGAGAACUCGGGUGAAGGAACUAGGCAAAAUGGUGCCGUAACUUCGGGAGAAGGCACGCUGACACGUAGGUGAAGUGAUUUACUCAUGGAGCUGAAGUCAGUCGAAGAUACCAGCUGGCUGCAACUGUUUAUUAAAAACACAGCACUGUGCAAACACGAAAGUGGACGUAUACGGUGUGACGCCUGCCCGGUGCCGGAAGGUUAAUUGAUGGGGUCAGCGCAAGCGAAGCUCCUGAUCGAAGCCCCGGUAAACGGCGGCCGUAACUAUAACGGUCCUAAGGUAGCGAAAUUCCUUGUCGGGUAAGUUCCGACCUGCACGAAUGGCGUAAUGAUGGCCAGGCUGUCUCCACCCGAGACUCAGUGAAAUUGAACUCGCUGUGAAGAUGCAGUGUACCCGCGGCAAGACGGAAAGACCCCGUGAACCUUUACUAUAGCUUGACACUGAACAUUGAGCCUUGAUGUGUAGGAUAGGUGGGAGGCUUUGAAG
rnacentral:rRNA from 1 species